rnacentral:rRNA from 1 species
UACGUAGGGGCCGAGCGUUGUCCGGAGUUAUUGGGCGUAAAGCGCGCGCAGGCGGCCUCGCGCGCCCGACGUGAAAGCCCCCGGCUUAACCGGGGAGGGUCGUUGGGGACGGCGGGGCUUGAGGGCGGGAGAGGUCGGUGGAAUUCCCGGUGUAGUGGUGAAAUGCGUAGAGAUCGGGAGGAACACCUGUGGCGAAGGCGGCCGACUGGGCCGACCCUGACGCUGGAGACGACGGAGCGUGGGGAGCGAACGGG